UGACUGCACAGCACAACACAGCAAGGGGC
rnacentral:sRNA from 1 species